UGGUGUAAUAACCAGUUCGUUGCUCCUAAAUCAACACAACAUAACCAGUUUGCUGAUGUCGUUGCCCCUAAGUCAAUAAAAACAACCAGUGUACUAUCGUAAAUAUUCAUAGCUUAGGAUUUCUUAUUCUUAGGUUAGUCAUUCUUAUGCUCUGUUGUUUUAGGUUAGGUUAGAUUAUGAUAUAACCUUCGUAUGCUGUAUACGAACAGAUCGACUGGGCAACAACAGCAAGGUUCUGACCAUAUCAGUGGCUAAUGUGGAUUGUUGCUUUACUAUACAUCAGUGCUGCAAUUAUUCAGGUAAAUUUGACACCAGCCCAACAUCAGUUUCAACCAGUGAUAUUGUUUCUCAUGCGGUGGAAUAUCUGAGAGAACAUUGCAACAGUGGAUUCCAAUAAUCCAAGAUAUAUAAUAGACACUGCUGCCCAAGCUAGCGAUGAUGUUUUUGUGGGGAAGAAAAUAUAAUUCCAUAAGUUUGUGUCUAACCGACUAUAGUUGCGCGCACAUCAAGCGGGGUACUUAAAGCGCGCCCGGGGACUCGGCGACCUCUUGACCGCCUCCUCCCCAGACGACACACUACAAAACGCUCCGCCGCCAUCUUGCUACACGUGAACUACGACGCCCAGUACCCCAGAAGCCUUCCACCGUCGCCUACAAGUCACGGGACUCCUGUUUGCGUGAAAUCGUUGUUAGCCCAUGGCGUUUCAGAGCAGCCUGCACAUCGCAAUUACCCUGAGGUACAGUCCUGCCCGUGUUUCCCCACCACGCUCUGCAUGGGGGGCGCCCUUGUUAGUUAGGGACGUCCCCAGUGAUCGGCGUGUGCCCAGCGCCGUGCCCCUUGUUGUGCAUGUUGCGACGCAGUAGCUAGCUGCCUCUCAGGUUUACUUGCUCUCUCUAGGGAGCUAGCCGUGCGUGCUGUCCCUUCACGCCUCCGCGCUGUGCCCAGGCGUGCGUGUUGUCCGCUCUCGCCCAAGUGGCGUGCACGUGCGCGCUCCUCUAUGCACGUGGGCCGGGGUCGCCCACGCAUGGUCGCGUGGCCCAUGCGGUCAGCCCUACUGGGUUCCUUGCCCUAGGGGCCCGGAAGUGCACGGCGUGCGCUGGUGCCCAUGCCCGGGGUACGGCGUGGGCCACGUGGCCAGACUCCUUACGGCUUUCUUCCCUCUGGGAGCUGCCAUGGGGGCCUUUGCGCGCGUCGCGCCCGGGCUGAGGGCCGCGUGGUGUGGGCAUGAGUUCCGUGCCAUGCAUGUGUGGGUCCCCCUGCCGCGCGAGGGCGGACGGCGCCACAUCUGGUGGUGUCGCCUGGGCGGCCAGGCUAGGUGUGGUCCCUGGGGCCACUGUUUUGCCCGUGGCAUGGGCGCCUGGGCCACGAGGCGUGCACGUGCGGGCUCCUUAACGCCUGGGGGCUGGCGGCGCCAAUGCUAGGUGGCGUGGCCCAUGCGGCCAGUCCUCCUGGUUCCUUGCCCUAUGGGCGUCCCUUGGGGCCUGGAGGUGAGCACGUCGUGUCCGGCGUGGCCUAGUGUCCGCGCCCGGGGACUGACGUGGUCGGCUCCUUUCGGCUCACACGUCUCUGGGGGCUGCCCUAGGGGCCUUACCUCGCCUCUCGCCCGGGCCGAGGGCCAUGGGGUGUGGGCGUGCCGGGCUCUCGCCCGCAGGCCGGUGCUGCAAAAACGUUGGGGUGUCGUCCCACGUAAUCAGGCACUCUGUGGCCUUCUCACUCCAGUGAGUUUGUCCCCAGGGGCCCUGGUUCUCUCACGCCCCUGUGGGCCUCCUGCGGGCAGCAACCAGGCCUGGGGGCCACGUGGGGUGCACGUGCAGGGCUUCCUCUAGGUCCCGUCCUGGCUGCUGAUGUGGUCCCAGCCGAUGAUCCAGCAGGCGGUGUUCCAGCUGAGCAUGCCCCCGGGGGCCAAGCACAGCUGCUGAUGUUCCGGCGGAUGUGGUCCCAGCCGAUGAUCCAGCAGCUGAU